rnacentral:lncRNA from 1 species
GGCGCAGGCCGAGUUAAGAGCUUUAAUCCUGUGAAGCCAUCUUAGUGAAGAGUUUAGAGUGCUGAGAGUUGAAAGCUUGCACGUGGGAAACGUGCGGCCGGACCGCCACAUGUACUGAGGUUGAGUCGUGACGGCCACAGGCUCCGAGUUUUGGCGUGAGGAACCGCUGAUCGGCCACGGGCACCGAACUUGCUGGCCUCCGGCAUGUGCCUGAGGGGCGGCGGAAAAACCACCUUAAUUGGGGCGGAGGGUUAGUUUUAAGAGCAAAGGGCCUUUACUAAAAUGGCGAAGGCCUUCCGUCGGCGUUGUUUUAAAAUGGGAAGCCUCGACCCUGUAUUGAAACUGAGCUGUUCGAAGGCGGCGUUGUGUGCAAUUCGGAUUAAUGAAGGGGAAGGGUUUUGUGUGGAAAAACGCCUUGGAGUGUGACAUUUCUGCGAGAAUGCUUAAAUACCGAUUUCCCGCAGGAACAAUGGCGCUGUCUUCAGUGGCACAGUGGAGCAGCUCUGAAGAUGCAAAGUGAGGGUCGCUGUCUGCCCAUUGAUAGAGGCCAGAUUGUCUUGGAAGUUCCAAAGUUGCAACGAUUUCUGGCUAGUGCCACGAGGUUUACUUGACUGUUGUGUGAAAAGCUGAUAAGAAAACCAUCCAGAAAAAAGCUCUUCGUUUUACAAACAUGAAAAUAAAACAUGUAAUUUUGGA